GGUUCGAUUAUGGCUCCAGAUUGAACGCUGGCGGGAUGCUUUACACAUGCAAGUCGAACGGCAGCACGGACUUCGGUCUGGUCGGCGAUGGCGCCGGAAACAGGUGAAAGUAAUGUAUCGGAACGUGCCUAGUAGCGGGGGAUAACUACGCGAGAAAGCGUAGCUAAUACCGCAUACGCCCUUCGAGAAAAGCAGGGGACCUUCGGGCCUCGCACUAUUAAACGGCCGAUAUCGGAUUAGCUAGUUGGUGGAGUAACGGCUCACCAAGGCGACGAUCCGUAGCUGGUUGAGAGGACGACCAGCCGCUGGGACUGAGACACGGCCCAGACUCCUACGGGAGGCAGCAGUGGGGAAUUUUGGACAAUGGGGAAACCUGAUCCAGCCAUCCCGCGUGCGAUGAAGGCCUUCGGGUUGUAAGCUUUACUUUUGGCAGGAAAAAAGCGUACGGGAUAAUACCCGUGCAACUGACGAGGCCUGCAGAAUAAGCACCGGCUAACUACGUGCCAGCGCGCGGUAAUACGUAGAGGUGCAAGCGUUAAUCGGAAUUACUGGGCGUAAGCGUGCAGGCGGUUCGGAAGAAAGAUGUGAAAUCCCAGAGCUUAACUGGAACUGCAUUUUUAACUACCGAGCUAUAGAGUGUGUCAGAGGGAGGUGGAAUUCCGCGUGUAGCAGUGAAAUGCGUAGAUAUGCGGAGGAGGAACACCGAUGGCGAAGGCAGCCUCCUGGGAUAACACUGACGCUCAUGCACAGCGUGGGGAGCAAACGGGAUUAGAUACCUGGUAGUCCACGCCCUAAACGAUGUCAACCUAGCUGUUGGGGCCUUCGGGCCUGGUAGCGCAGCUAACGCGUGAAGUUGACCGCCUGGGGAGUACGGUCGCAAGAUUAAAGCCGAAGAUUGACGGGGAUUCCCGCACAAGCGGUGGAUGAUGUGGAUUAAUUCGAUGCAACGCGAAAAAACCUUGCCUACCCUUGACAUGGCUGGAAUCCCGAAGAGAUUUGGGAGUUGCUCGCAAGAGAACCGGAACACAGGUGCUGCAUGGCUGUCGUCAGCUCGUGUCGUGAGAUGUUGGGUUAAGUCCCGCAACGAGCGCAACCCUUGUCAUUAGUUGCUACGAAAGGGCAUAAUGAGACUGCCGGUAUGUUCGGAGGAAGGUGGGGAUGACGUCAAGUCCUCAUGGCCCUUAUGGGUAGGGCUUCACGUCAUACAAUGGUCGGGACAGAGGGUCGCCAACCCGCGAGGGGGGAGCCAAUCCCAGAAACCCGAUCGUAGUCCGGAUCGCAGUCUGCAACUCGACUGCGUGAAGUCGGAAUCGCUGUAAUCGCGGAUCAGCAUGUCGCGGUGAAUACGUUCCCGGGUCUUACCUUUUUCGCCGUCACACCAUGGGAGUGGGUUUUACCAGAAGUAGUUAGCCUAACCCGUAAGGAGGGCGAUUGCCACGGUAGGAUUCAUGACUGGGGUGAAGUCGUAACAAGGUAA
rnacentral:rRNA from 1 species